GUGGGGAAUUUUGGACAAUGGGCGCAAGCCUGAUCCAGCCAUUCCGCGUGCAGGAUGAAGGCCUUCGGGUUGUAAACUGCUUUUGUACGGAACGAAAAGCCUCUGGUUAAUACCCGGGGGUCAUGACGGUACCGUAAGAAUAAGCACCGGCUAACUUCGUGCCAGCAGCCGCGGUAAUACGAAGGGUGCAAGCGUUAAUCGGAAUUACUGGGCGUAAAGCGUGCGCAGGCGGUGCUGUAAGACAGGCGUGAAAUCCCCGGGCUUAACCUGGGAAUUGCGCUUGUGACUGCAGGGCUGGAGUGCGGCAGAGGGGGAUGGAAUUCCGCGUGUAGCAGUGAAAUGCGUAGAUAUGCGGAGGAACACCGAUGGCGAAGGCAAUCCCCUGGGCCUGCACUGACGCUCAUGCACGAAAGCGUGGGGAGCAAACAGGAUUAGAUACCCGUGUAGUCC
rnacentral:rRNA from 1 species